rnacentral:rRNA from 1 species
GACGAACGCUGGCGGCGUGCCUAAUACAUGCAAGUUGAGCGCUGAAGGUUGGUACUUGUACCAACUGGAUGAGCAGCGAACGGGUGAGUAACGCGUGGGGAAUCUGCCUUUGAGCGGGGGACAACAUUUGGAAACGAAUGCUAAUACCGCAUAAAAACUUUAAACACAAGUUUUAAGUUUGAAAGAUGCAAUUGCAUCACUCAAAGAUGAUCCCGCGUUGUAUUAGCUAGUUGGUGAGGUAAAGGCUCACCAAGGCGAUGAUACAUAGCCGACCUGAGAGGGUGAUCGGCCACAUUGGGACUGAGACACGGCCCAAACUCCUACGGGAGGCAGCAGUAGGGAAUCUUCGGCAAUGGACGAAAGUCUGACCGAGCAACGCCGCGGGAGUGAAGAAGGUUUUCGGAUCGUAAAACUCUGUUGGUAGAGAAGAACGUUGGCGAGAGUGGAAAGCUCAUCAAGUGACGGUAACUACCCAGAAAGGGACGGCUAACUACGUG